GAGAAAAAAAAUAACAGAAGUAACAAUAAAAAUAUUCCAGAAAAAAAGAAAAGAAAUAUAUAAUAAUAUAACAGUCAUACAGCCUGACUAGACUCACACAAAAGAUGCUCACUCAUAUUUAACAGUCAAAGUCAAUGUCAAUAAUAUACUUAUAGUAAAUAAUUAAAGAGAUAUAUAUGUAAUACAUAAAAUAAAUAAUAACAUUAAAUCAAUAAAAUAAAUAAAUAAAUAAAUACAUAAAUAAGAAAACGUAUACGGAGUGCAAGCUUCUGUCAAGGCUGUCACCAAAAACGCACACGUCCAGAGCGACAACCCGCUAACGCGAGAAAAUGUCACGUCACUGUCAUCAAAUAAGAGUUACGACGACAUAUUUUGUACAAAAAAUUGUUGUAUUUUUGCAACGUGGUCGUGACGUGGACAAUAGAAUUAUAUGUCAUGACGUGGCAGUGGUUAUAGAGCGUAGUAGGGACCAGUCAAGGAGUGCAAACCCCCCGGAAACCGAGACAAAGUCCGCCCCGGCAAGUCGCGUAGACCCGUAGAUCGCGCAUUGGGGGCGGUAAAUCGUUCCAGCACCGGGAGGCCGCAAACCUGAACGAUCCACGAA